GCUUUUUAAGCUUAGUGGCGAACGGGUGAGUAACGCGUGAGUAACCUGCCCUAGAGUGGGGGACAACAGUUGGAAACGACUGCUAAUACCGCAUAAGCCCACGGUGCCGCAUGACACUGAGGGAAAAGGAUUUAUUCGCUUUAGGAUGGACUCGCGUCCAAUUAGCUAGUUGGUGAGGUAACGGCCCACCAAGGCGACGAUUGGUAGCCGGACUGAGAGGUUGAACGGCCACAUUGGGACUGAGACACGGCCCAGACUCCUACGGGAGGCAGCAGUGGGGGAUAUUGCACAAUGGGGGAAACCCUGAUGCAGCGACGCCGCGUGGAGGAAGAAGGUUUUCGGAUUGUAAACUCCUGUCGUUAGGGACGAUAAUGACGGUACCUAACAAGAAAGCACCGGCUAACUACGUGCCAGCAGCCGCGGUAAAACGUAGGGUGCAAGCGUUGUCCGGAAUUACUGGGUGUAAAGGGAGCGCAGGCGGGAAGACAAGUUGGAAGUGAAAACCAUGGGCUCAACCCAUGAAUUGCUCUCAAAACUGUUUUUCUUGAGUAGUGCAGAGGUAGAUGGAAUUCCCGGUGUAGCGGUGGAAUGCGUAAAUAUCGGGAGGAACACCAGUGGCGAAGGCGGUCUACUGGGCACUAACUGACGCUGAGGCUCGAAAGCAUGGGUAGCAAACAGGAUUAGAUACCCUGGUAGUCCAUGCCGUAAACGAUGA
rnacentral:rRNA from 1 species